rnacentral:rRNA from 1 species
AGUGAACGCUGGCGGUAGGCCUAACACAUGCAAGUCGAACGGCAGCACAGUAAGAGCUUGCUCUUACGGGUGGCGAGUGGCGGACGGGUGAGGAAUACAUCGGAAUCUACUUUUUCGUGGGGGAUAACGUAGGGAAACUUACGCUAAUACCGCAUACGACCUACGGGUGAAAGCAGGGGAUCUUCGGACCUUGCGCGAUUGAAUGAGCCGAUGUCGGAUUAGCUAGUUGGCGGGGUAAAGGCCCACCAAGGCGACGAUCCGUAGCUGGUCUGAGAGGAUGAUCAGCCACACACGAACUGAGAGACGGGCCCGACUCCUACGGGAGGCAGCAGUGGGGAAUAUAGGACACUAGGCGCGAGACUGAUCCAGCCAUACCGCGUGGGUGAAGAAGACCUUCGGGUUGUAAAGCCCUUUUGUUGGGAAAGAAAGCAGCAGGUUAAUACCCCGCUGUUCUGACGGUACCCAAAGAAUAAGCACCGGCUAACUUCGUG